CAUGAAGUAAGGGAAGGUGGAUCUGUCCCUUAGCACCGCUUCCUCCACGUCGAACACUACGGUUUGGUCCCGCAGCUUCUCCGUCGGAGGGUACCUCUGCGCCUUCCCAUGGUUCGCAUAAAAAGCCCGGAGUCUUCUCGCCAGGAACCGGUAGAACAGAUGGAGGCUCUUGAAGGUCUUCGAGGUCAUGUUGGUGCUUGAUCGGGGCUUCGCUGCUGCCUUUUUUACUUCGCUAUUUAUAGACACGCCACUAAUGCGUUGGCUAUGCCCCACCGUGGGCGGCUUGGAGGCCAUACACUUGGGGGAUGGAUGGAUGGAUUGUGAAGGGAGCAUUAAUGCCAUUGAGAAUCUCUCUGGUCAGCAGCACUUCAGAGGAUGAUAGAGGAAGAUCAAAGAACCUCAACUGCAAUCUAGACUUUUAGGCAUCACCAAGAUCAAGAACAGGAUCCUUGUGCGAACGGCCGACGUCCUCUAUCACUUAUCCGAGUUAUAUGUUAUCCUAUAGGUGAACAGCAGAAGAAGAAUAAGAUAUGGACUCCUGCACCAAUCAUUAAGACACCGAGGGUGGUCAGUUUACUUGGUUGGAGGAUACGAUGGGUGAAAGGAAGUCACACAAAAAAGGGUUUUAUAAUGAUGGAGCUCCAUAUAUAAUGUCGUGAGUGUUUCUCUUCCCCCUAACUUUCAUCCAAGUAAACACAUUCUGAAAUUAGCAUACAAUAGAUGAUUAUAGAGUAAGAUCGACUUGUAGGCAAUCCUGUUUCCACCUGGUGUUCAUAUUUUUAUCGGCUCAACAUUUAUGGCGUGCUUAGCUAUGCAUCUUUUUCUCACAAUUAUAGUUAGCCUAUUCUUGUUCCUGCAAAAUGAUCUUGAUUUUUUUGUGCUUUAAUAGUCCACUGUGGGUUGAUGGUUAAGUUAAACCAAUCUUUAGUCUGCAUAUGAAUAUUUUAGUAGCAUGCAUUAAUGAAUUUUCAUUUGUAUACUUCUUACCAAUUAUUAUACAUCACCACCUCACAAUUGUAUAUUAAAACAUGUCUAUUCUUUUGUGUAUAUUACGUUCAGUUCACGCCAUAGUAUUAAGUAUACAUGCAUACUACAUACAUGAACUCACCGGGAUCAGAUGCAGGUUGUGAUUUACAUGGCUUGUUGGUGAUGGACAAAUUAUGAACAGAUAUGAAGUUAGUUGGCGUUUCAAUGCAACAAUUGCCUUGGAUUUAGGUGUUUUGCUUCCUAUUUGACUUGCACACGAUUGGCUUGUAUUGGUUCAAGAUGUGACAGAGUUGGCAAAUGAGGGUCGCUUGAGAUGGAUAAUUCUUCUAAGUAUCUAAUGAUAUGGCAUUUUUUUUUAUUGCCUUUUGUUGCUUAGAGGUAUUUGAUGCUCACAUGAAUGUUUUGCUUGGUUCAAUAUGUUAUAAAAAAAAGGGCAGUCCGGUGCACGAAACUCCCACCAUGUGGGGUCCUGGGGAAGGAUCCAUUGUACGCAGCUUUACCCUGCUUUUUGUAAGAGGCUGUUUCCAAGAUUCGAACCCGUGUCUUUUUGGUCACAUGACAACAACUUUACCGUUGCGUCAAGAUUCUCCUUUUGGUUCAAUAUGUUAUACAACUAACAAAUCCCUUUUGGUUACCAGAUGGUAUGGAAUUAAAUCUCGUCUCAUGAAUCACUUGCCUCAUCAGGCCUCAUCUUUACCAUUACCAAAAUUAUUUAGUGCGCACACAUAGAUUGAAGAUGUGAUACAGUUGAUUGAUGGUACCGCUUGGGAUGCUUUCAUCUCCUUGAUUACCAGAUGGUGGUCUAAUCCAUAUAAUGAUUUGGUUCAAUUGACCUUAUUGAUCAAUCUAUCUCGAGUAGUGGAAUUUAGCAUGGGGCUGGAGUGAGAAGUGAACCCAAGAGUGGUGGCUCAACAAUCCUUUAAACCUGCAAGAAAUCUAUCUCAGGGGCCUUUGCGCGAGUCUUUUGAUGCUCAAGUCAAUUGAAGUUUGAUAAAGCAAGUUCGAGCUUCAGAAUUGGAGGUCAGGUUGGUGCUGUCUCAACUCAAGAUGCUAAUUUGAGUUCAUCCAUCAUUCAGUUCAUUCCACCUCGUUUCAGUCCUGAGAGCUCUCUUUCAGAGAUCUGUGAGCGAUAUCCCUGGAUGCAGGAUGGGGUGGGUGAUUCUGGGCAGAAUGUUGUCGCUAUAAUUCUUUUUAAUAAGAUCUUGGAAAGUUGGUUGAAACAGGAUAUGAGCAAUCAAUGAGGUUUAGCUACCAAAGAUACUGAAUUUACAGGUGAGUGAAGAAUGGACCAUAGCCACCCAUCACUGGUCCAAGUCUUUCGGUAUUUCUGGUCUUUGAUUCAUGAACCCUACUGCUGCAAUAAUCUGGAUCAGCAAAGAACAACUAGUGACGGUCCUCUGAGCAACUAAAACUCAAUCGUUAGUUUGAGAGCAAACUUGUUACAAAUAAUAGAAUCCGUAGUCGAUGUGAAAUGUAAUAGAUUCUUGAAAAAGUAGGAUAACACCAUGCAAAAUUACAAGACCAAGUACAAUAUUCUUCUGGUAUCAAUCUUGGCUUCCAAAACUUUGGCUUCCAAAGUGCUCCCAUCUGAUCUACCACCGAAUCCAUUGUAAUCUUUGUAUGAUGUUAGCUUACUUUUCCAAGAAUCCAUUACAUCUCACAUCUACUACCGAUUCCAUUGUUUAUAGGCAAUCCUGUUUCCACCUUGUGUUCAUAUUUUUAGUGGGCUCAACAUUUAUAGUGUGCUUAGCUAUGCAUCUUUUUCUCAUAACUAUAAUCAACCUAUUCCA